CAGUGGGCACCCAAACACACAUGAUAUUCAGGUGUAUACAAGCAUUACAGACAUGCGCGCGCGCGCGCGCGCGCGCACACACACAUACACACACACACACACACAGAGAGAGAGAGAGAGAGAGAGAGAGAGAGAGAGAGAGAGAGAGAGAGAGAAUUGUUAGGUCUCAAGAAGCCUGGGACCAAUGGCUAACUGGGGUGCCUAUUUAACAUAUCAAAGCCGGGUGUUGGUGGUACAUGCCUUUAAUCACAGUACUUGGGAGGCAGAGGCAGGCAGAUCUCCGUGAGUUCAAGGCCAGCCUGGUCUACAGAGCAAGUGCCAGGAUAAGCUCCAAAGCUACACAGAGAAACCCUGUCUCGAAAAACCAAAACAACAACAACAACAACAAAAGAACAUAUCAAAGCAGACCUGCCACACAGGUUCUCCUAGUAUCCCUUAGUUCCUGCCUGUUUCAGGGUCAUCCUGGCUGACCUACCCUGAACUCUUUAGCUCAGGGGCUGGGCUUCCUCUCCCCUAGUCUCUGGUCCCUAUAUAACUCAGCCAUUUUGGCUACACUGACCCCUUGGCCUCUGUGCCUCCUGUCCUCUUGACUCCCACCUCUCUCCUCCCCCUCUGUCCUCACAAGGCCCCACCCAGUCCGCUGGUCAUGUCCACUCUGGACUCCCCCCAAAUGUCCCUGUCUCUGGCUGUGCUCUCCCUCAUAUCUACAAAAAACCUUCUCUACCAUACCUAGGAGCAGUCAUGUCCUCCUUUUUAUUUCUUUUUUUUUUUUUUUUUAUUCAAGAACCACAUUUUUAGCCGGGCGGUGGUGGCGCACACCUUUAGUCCCAGCACUCGGGAGGCAGAGGCAGAGGCAAGCAGAUCUCUGUGAGUUCAAGGCCUGCCUGAUCUACAAAGUGAGUUCUAGCACAUCCAGGACUGUUACAUAGAGAGCCUUGUCUCAAAACAAACAAAAACCAAACAGACAUAAAAAAUCUUAAAAACGAAACAGAACAUAGGUAUGUCCAAGAGGCUCUGCCACUUCCAGAUGUGUGACUUGGGCGGCGUCCCUAACCUCUGUGCUUGUUUCCUCAUCUGAGAAAUGGGAACAACACAGCUCCCUGGCAUGAGUCAGCCUCCUCAGCACAAACAGAAGACUCAAUCCAGGAACAGCAUUAGACAAUAUUCAUUUUAGUCUUGGGAAUUUGGGGGUUUAUUUUGCUUUUGAAAUAGGGUCUGUUUAUGUAGCCCUGGCUGUUUUAGAACUCUGAGACUCAAUGCUGGCAUUGCCAACACUGGACGUGAGGGCCACAGACAUGCAGAAUCCCAGCAGACACCUUUGAUUGGUGAAGGGCUGAGCCUGGUAGCCAGGAAGUGGAGGGGAGGCUGGUCCCCAGCGCACGUAGUGGGGGCUGCCCAGUGUGGAAUAACAGGGAUGGCAGUCACAUGCCUGCAGAAGACGGGAUUCAGCACUCAUCCGGAAUGCUCAGGCUCAGGGACGGAGCCCACUGCAGUGUGUGUGCCAACUCCUAACUCAGGGAGGCCACACUAGUUCAUGUGUGUUCAGAAGAUGUGGGCAGAAUGACAAGAGCAGUACACAUGCUCUUCCAAGCCUGGGACACAGCACAGUGUUCUAGUUUCCUUUCUGUUGCUGAGGCCUAAAGCAAUUUAGGAGAAGAAAGGAUUUAUUUGACUUACACUUCUAGGUCACAGACCAUUGUUAUGGGAGGUCAGGGCAGGAACCAGAAGCAGAAACCAUGGAGGAGCAUUGCUUGCCAGCUGCUCACAGACUCGUGACUUUCUUUUUUGUUGCUGCCCUCCUCCCUCAAUCCCAUGUUUCUCUGUGUAGCUCUGGCUGUGGACCAGGCUGGCUUUGAACUCAGAGAUCCUCCUGCUGUUGCCUCCUGAGUGCUGGGAUUAAAGGCAUGUUCCACCACUGCCUAGUUUAGCUAGCUUUCUUGUACAGCCCAGGACCACCUGCCUAGGGAUGGUAUCACCCCCUGUGGGCUGAUCCUCCUUUUCCAGUUGGCAGCUAAGACACACAUCAAAAACAAAAAAACAAACAAGCAAAAAACAACAAUAACAAAAACAUGCUCAUAGAGUUAGGAAAUUUCUCAGUUGAGGCUUGCAUCUGCGAUCACUCUAGGCUGUAUCAAGCUGACAAUUAAACCGAACUAGGAUACCACAGUACCCAUCCACAACGGAAUAAGCCACAGCUAACCAUAGCACCUUGUUUCAUGGAGCCCAGAAAGCAGGUGCUCAGGCAGGCAGACUCGUGGGAGAGGCAGAAUCAACUUUGCCCAAGGCAAAGUUUCAUUUAUUACAACCUUGAAGACAGAUGAGAUGAAUCUCUGGGACCUCAGGAGUCAGGAGAAGGGUGAGUCAACCAGGUACAGUGGGGCAGAGCUCUCUGUUCACUUGUUUACUUGGGUGCACGUGUUCUGAAGCGUGUUCUCCACUUAGAAUUUGUCUUUUCCGGGGGCUGGAGAGAUGGCUCAGCAGUUAAGAGCAUUGCCCAGAGGACCUGGGGUUCAAUUCCCAGCACCCACACAGCAACUCACAACUGUAACUCCAGUUCCAGGAUUUCUGACACCUUCACACAGACACACAUGCAGUCAAAAUAUUGAUGCACAUAAAAUAAAAUAUAAUAAAAGAACUUGUUUUUUGUUGUAGGCGUGCUACACUUCCGGUGUGGGUGGGGGCAACAACCAGGCAUGGUGGUGAUUUCUGUAUUGCCCUGCAACUUAAGAAGACUGGAACAGGAGCAUUGCUCCAAAUUUGAGGCUAGCCUGGCCUAUAUGAAACCUUGUCUCAAAAUAUACAGUUUUAUGAGUGCAUCUGCAAGAAGCAUUUGGGACAGUGACUGACUGGGAUGGGGUGAAGAGAUGGUAGCCAUGGACUUCAGCGUCAUUACUGCGUUGUCCCGCUGCACCAUUGCACAAGGCUGGGGGAGACACCUGUGUUCUCAUGUACCCUGAAUGCAGAGGGCUCUGAGGGCUCAACACAUCUCAAUGGCCCCCUGAGGGCUUUAGCCAGUCUCUCCAGGGUGUGCCUUAGGCUGAGCCAGGAGCAAAGCACAAGGCCUGAAGCUGACAGAGCAGAACUCAGUGGUCACCUUAGUGCCUUUGUGCAGCUAGAGAGGAAUAUUAGACUGGGUCAUUUGUAAAGAGCAGGAAUUUGGCCCUUAGUCUCCUUUUUUGGCUUUCUCGCCCACUGAGAUAGGAGCAAGCAGCUUCCUGCUCCUUAUGGGAGCUGUCCCACCAAAGACAAGUGCUUGCCCUCUUCCAAAAUUCUCCACCAUGAAGGAGUGUAUCCUCUGAACCAUGAGCUAAGACCCUCAUUGUCUAAUACAAACAAACAAACAAACACAAUCUUUCCUUUUUCUUUUCUGAAGGGAAAGGCAGACAUGACCUUAGUGACCAGCAAGUAACAGGGGACUGCUUAGAGCAGCAAAACAAGGGUGCACCCUGAGAUGAGAAACAGAGUAAGAAGAGGCUAAGAGGGUUUCAGGGGCGGGUCUGGGAGUCUCAGGAAGGACAUCUACAGAAGACUAGUGAGGACGUGGGGACAACAGUGACCAGGAAGAACAUGGCUUGUGGGAGGCCGAGGCUCUGCUCUAGGCAGCUUGCUCAGACAGGCGCAGGUUAGGACAGUUGGGGGCUAUGGAACCCAAGUGCCUAGUGGUUACCAAGGAAACUGAUCUUUCCUUUGUGGGUUCUUAGUCUUGUUAAUCAAAGAAUUUCAAUACAAUCUAGGAAGGAAGCUUGAGGACAAUUUUAUUAGAGUUUGGAAGAAAACCACAGGACAAGGCAGGUUGUAAAUUUUGGCAGCUGCCUGGAGGAGGAAAGGAAAAGCAAAAUCCAGGCCUUUUGCAAUAUGCAAUGGCGGUGAGCAAGCAGUCAUGUGACGGAAAAAGAUCAGGGCGCCAUUUUUCAGUGCUGGACACAAAGCUCUCCACUAACUAUUUUAAAGACUGUAUCUUACAGGGUCAGGUCACUUUGUGGAUGCCAUGGCUAAUCUUCUAUCUCAGAUUGACUGUGUGUGCCUGUGGGGUGUUUCCAGAAAGGUUUAUCUGAAGUGAGAAGACCCACCUUAAAUGUGGACAGCAGCAUCC
rnacentral:lncRNA from 1 species